GAUGCACGUCACAAAAUUAGGCGAAUUUGGCUACGUCGUGGGGCCGGAUGGGUUACGGAGCGUUUAGCGUGGCGUUGGACUGAUUUUAUUUUAAGAAUUUGUAUUUAUUUCCCUGUGGGGAACGUUUCGUUUGUUUUUGAGUUUAUUAAGCCGAUCCGAGAGGAUUCGACACAAUUUGUAUUGGGACGGGGCCCGAGAGAGAGCCAACUACGGGCCUGACGGAGCGCUGUCGAUGAGAGAUGACGUCAAGACCGGAGCACACAACCUGGUGGCUCAACUACGCGAAGCAAGCGGCGAGCGUCUUCAGAAGCAGAGGGCAUACAGGAGUUGCAGAAGUGGCGUGAAGCCGAAUAUCGAGGCAGUAGAGGUGGAUGUGGUUCCCGCCUUCCGGAAACGGCACUGCAGCCAUCCUAUCGUAGCAAGAUGCCAGGAUCUAUUUUACCGGGAUCGUUAAAACCAUUGAAGAUCGCGAGCUGGCUAGCGGAGCCGAUGUAACAGCGAACCUGAGUGGACCAGGGGGUGGUAUUACAGCGCGCUCUCAGGAAGGUUCCCGAUUUUGGAAAUUUGUAGCGUCACUCACGGCAUGGCCUAACUCAGGGAUAGACGUGCUAUCGUUUUCUACCGAUUUUUGUGUUUAUUGUAUCGUAUCGUGAUCCGUUUGAGGGGCGAGUGUGUUCCAGGAGAGUGUGUUCCUGGUAAUAGUAGGAGCUACUGGACAACGGUACCAUUAGCUGCUGUUCUCAGCCUCUACAGACUCAGUACCUGACGUAAAAGGCAGCCUAAAUGCAUUGUCUAAGUGGCCGUUGCUUACACGCGAUAUUCGGAUAAAGUUAUCGCGGAUUUUUGUAGGUGUUGCCGAAAUGUCAUUACUAUGUGGAAAGUGAUAAACACGUCGAACGUAUGGGACAAAUCUAUUUCUCAGGCAAUCUUCCAGCUUCCUUGAUGCAAUUCUUAACAGUAACGUCGCUUACUAUAUACCUUGCCCUCCUUGUGAAUUUCAUGGGAAGGACCAGGUUUAUCUCAGAGUCAAUGUUCUUGUCCAGAAAUAUCAAAAUAUGUUUGACAAUUUCUCUGUGAUAAUAAAGUUUAAAAGUGUGGAUGAUACCCUGAUCUAAGGGUUGUAACUUACUGGUGGUAUUAGCAGGCAAAAAAUGACUCGUAUUUGUAAGUAAUAGGUAAGACCGUAUGGGCAGAGCAGUUAAAUAAAAAGAAUGAUUCUUUC